UGGUGUUGCAACUGUAGUGGAACUGCAGAAUUGAAUCAAACAUUCCAGAUUGGAUACUUGAAUUCUAUAAAGAACAUUUAAUUGAAUUAAAACUUUUAUUCUUUACUUUUGGUAAACUGUUAUUCCAAAAUUAAAUAUAUGAGGGGUUUGAGCGAGCGGCUAGCACAGUGAAUUUGCUCCCUACAUUUGUUGGUUUAUCCAUCCGUAUUAUCAAUUUAUCAAUGUUCUAAAAUGCGCGAUUUCCAUCUUU